GGGUAUUCAGCUUGCAUAUUCAACAGAAUAAGCAAAAAUAAAAAGUAACACGAUUUUUUUUUGUACUCAUCAUUGUUCAUUUUACUGAUUGAUUUCUGCAACAUACAUACAAACACGUUGGCUGUGUGUGUGUGUGUGUGUGUGUGUGUGUGUGUGUGUGUGUGUGUGUGUGUGUGUGUGUGUGUGUGUGUGUGUGUGUGUAAAAAGAAUGAGGAGAAGCCGGGGCUGAUGGAGAGUCCCGCAGGAGGCUAUGAGAAGCAGCAGCGAAUCAGAUCACUCACACUCAUGCCAAUCAUAAACAUGAUUGGAGGAAUAAGGGAGGGAGGGCGGGCUCUCUCUCUUAAAGGCACAGGCGGACCGUUUCCUAAGGACAAGAGUAGUGAAGAGAGGGCAAGAGGAAGCAGGAGAGGGCAACAUAUCGAUGCACAGAAACCAACGGGGGGCUAAUAACCACAACGGUUAGAUAAAUAAAGCAGAACAACGGCUUUGAUUGAAGACAGAUUAAUAUUGAACCACAGAGCCCUAGGGCUGGUGUCCGGUUCUAACUCCCAGAUGCAGGAACCGGUUCUCCAGAGUUGGUGUGUCUCCACUCUGGUAACCCGAGGUGACCGACCGAUAAAACAACAAAACAAAAAGCGGAAUGACGACCGAAGUGGAAGAGGAGAGUGAGUCUCCGCAGGGUGACGGCGAUAAUGAGGGGUAAUGCACGCCUAGGGGUCGGGGAGAAGAGUGGCGGUGGGGGUGAGGGGGGUAAUGCACGCCUAGGGGUCGGGGAGGAGUGGGGGU
ensembl:lncRNA